rnacentral:rRNA from 1 species
CCUACGGGAGGCAGCAGUGAGGAAUAUUGGUCAAUGGACGAAAGUCUGAACCAGCCAUGCCGCGUGCAGGAUGACGGCCCUAUGGGUUGUAAACUGCUUUUAUACAGGAAUAAACCACCGAACGUGUUCGGUGCUGAAGGUACUGUAAGAAUAAGGAUCGGCUAACUCCGUGCCAGCAGCCGCGGUAAUACGGAGGAUCCAAGCGUUAUCCGGAUUCAUUGGGUUUAAAGGGUCCGCAGGCGGGGUAUUAAGUCAGUGGUGAAAGCCGGCAGCUUAACUGUCGAAUUGCCAUUGAUACUGGUACUCUUGAGUGUAGUUGAAGUAGGCGGAAUAAGUCAUGUAGCGGUGAAAUGCAUAGAUAUGACUUAGAACACCGAUUGCGAAGGCAGCUUACUAAGCUACUACUGACGCUCAUGGACGAAAGCGUGGGGAGCGAACAGGAUUAGAUACCCUGGUAGUCCACGCCGUAAACGAUGAUCACUCGCUGUUGGCGAUAUACAGUCAGCGGCCAAGCGAAAGCAUUAAGUGAUCCACCUGGGGAGUACGCUCGCAAGAGUGAAACUCAAAGGAAUUGACGGA